rnacentral:rRNA from 1 species
UACGUAUGGUGCGAGCGUUAAUCGGAAUUACUGGGCGUAAAGCGUGCGCAGGCGGUUUUAUAAGACAGGUGUGAAAUCCCCGGGCUCAACCUGGGAAUGGCAUUUGUGACUGUAAGACUAGAGUACGGUAGAGGGGGAUGGAAUUCCGCGUGUAGCAGUGAAAUGCGUAGAUAUGCGGAGGAACACCGAUGGCGAAGGCAAGCACCUGGACCAGUACUGACGCUGAUGCGCGAAAGCGUGGGGAGCAAACAGG